rnacentral:tRNA from 2 species
GGAGGUUGUCCGGCAUGGACGAGGAAAGCGUCUUGAAAACGCCUGCGGGUUAAACCGUCAAGAGUUCGAUUCUCUUAGCCUCCG